CUGCUUUUGGUCCAAUUUUUUUCCCACUUCUUUUGCUUCGCUUCUUCCGUAGCCGUUUGCUCUCUCCUCUCUUCGCCUCUGCUGGUCUCAAAGUGGAUAGUUUUGUGGUGAGUUCUUCUAAUCUUGCAUCUACAAGUUUUUUAUGCAACUGUAUGGAUUGUGUUCUGUUCAAUUUUAGAUGUUUGAAGCUUUUAAUUUUUUUUGGGUUCAAUUUUAAAUGGGUUGUUGCUUUCAGAGUUUUUGUUUGAUGAUAGAGAUGGGGUUUUUGGGGAGAAACUUUUAAUCCGUGAGUUUUUUUAGUUAGGUUGUUUAAGAGUUACAUUCAUGGGAAUUCUUUUGUUCUUCUUUUUUCCUGCAUCUGGAAAAUGCCACAUGAUGUGAGUUUAUAAUUAAAUAAGAAUAUCAAAAUGGGUUUUCUGUGCAAAUUUUCUUUUUCUGAUUUUAUAGAACCGAAGAGGAUGUUAACAAUAACAUUAUUGUAUGAUAUGUGAUCUAAAGUUCUUUGGUGAGUUAUUUGGUUUUCUUGCCACAUGGGAUUUUAAUAUAUAUUUUUUUCGUGGUUUAUGCGUGGUUCUCUGAUGUGUUUUGAUUUUUUAUUUCAAGAAAAGUUAACGAUACGAUCAAACGUUUACUGGUAAAUUUUCUAUUUUUCUGAUUGUGUGUGAUUUAAUUUUUUUAAAGCUUUGGGUGUACUUUUCUGAACUGCUUUGAUUUUUAGUUGCAGCAAAUGUUGUUGCUCGAAUUUUCCAGUUUUUAUCUGCAGCUUUGCAAGCUCUUUAUCAACAAGGUAUAUAAUUUUUAUUCUUUUUCCUGAAUCUUUUGUUGGAUGGAAUCGUUUUUUAGUUUUUGGUGAGUUCGUCUAAUCUCGCAUCUGGUACUGUGUUUUUUCCGACUGUAGAGAUUGUAUUUUGUUGAAUUUUAAAUGGUAGAAGCUUCUUGGGUUCAAUUUAAAUGGGUUGUUAUCAACUAUUGAAUUGCUUUCGAAGCUAUUUGGCUACUCCCUUAACGCCCUUUUUCCUUUUCUUUUCAACUUCUUCGAUUUGCAGCCCCCUUCUUUUUUUUUCCUUUUCCAGAUUUAGCUUUUUUCCCCUAUAUUGUAUCUUUUGGCUAAUUUUGUGGGUCUUGGUCAGUGCUGUGGGUAUUGGUGAAUUUCUAGCAUGUUUAUGCAUGCAGUUUUUGUUAUAAUGUAUGGAUUGUGUUUUGUUCAAUUUUAAAUGUCAGAAGCUUUUAAUUUUUUUUGGGUUCAAUUUUAAAUGGGUUGUUGUCAACCAUUGAAUUUCUUUUGGAGUAUUCAUUUGACAAGAGAGAUGGGGGGGGGUUCUUUUGGGUGAAACUUUUGAUCCGUGAGAUUUUUAGUUAGGUUGUGUUGUGGGUUUUCGCAAAUUUCUAUCGUGUUUAUGCAUGCAUUUUUUGGUUAUAGAUUUGGAAGAACAUAGCAUUACAGGGUGUUGAGGGUUUGCUGGCGGGAGGAAGUAGCAGCAUUAAGAUUUUGCAGGUGAGAUAUUAGGGUGAGAGAAUAACGGGACAAAGAGCAUCGAAGAAACAUUUGGGAUUAGGGGUAGCAAAACAGGGGAAAAGAAUAUGACAGAGGAAAUGGACUCUUAAUUUUUUUCUUAACUGGUUUGGGAUUUUGCUUGCCUUUGGGGUCGUUGUUGGCGUCAAGCCAUUUGGUGGUGUCAAGUGGUGUCUGUUUUUUCAUAACUUUUAUUACUAAUUUUUAUGUCAUUUGCGAUUUUGUGUCCUGGGAUUUCUGAAUUUUAUUGUUCAUUGUCAGUUUUUUAAAUUUUUUUUGUCUUCAUUUGUUUGUUUAAUAUGUUGUGUUUGUGCUGGGACGCAGCGCUAAAGGCCUUUCUUUAAUCAUGCACUAUGGGCGACUUAGAAAUCCUUAAUACAUUUAUCUGUGCAGACUGUUUCACCUGUUUCUUAUUUCGUUGAGUUUAGAUUGUGUGAGAGGUUUUAUGUGUUGCAAUAGAAUAACAUGUUAGUAAAGAAAUCACAAACUUUUAGAAAAAGUGAUUAAGGCAAUUGAAAGAAAAGUUCACCAUAUUCCUAAUCAGCACCACUCUCCUGGAAUAUGCAGGGAAAAAGUGGAAGGUCUUCAGAUUGAUCACGGCCUCCAACUUUUUCCUAGGACUUUCAACCUCCGUCGUUCUCAAUCUGUAUACAUAUAUCAUCACAAGAUAAGGCGCAAACCGCACUUUAUCGCAAUGACAUAAUACAAUUAUGUUUAUACAUAAGGUCGU
rnacentral:lncRNA from 1 species